rnacentral:rRNA from 1 species
UACGUAGGGGUGCAAGCGUUUGUCCGGGAAUUAUUGGGCGUAAAGAGCUCGUAGGCGGUUUGUCGCGUCUGCUGUGAAAAACGCGGGGGCUCAACUCCGCGCCUGCAGUGGGGUACGGGGCAGACUAGAGUGCAGUAGGGGGAGACUGGAAUUCCUGGUGUAGCGGUGGGAAUGCGCAGAUAUCAGGGAGGAACACCGGGUGGGCGAAGGGCGGGGGUCUC